rnacentral:rRNA from 1 species
CAGUCGCCACGGGAAUACGUAGGGUGCAAGCGUUAAUCGGAGUUACUGGGCGUAAAGCGUGCGCAGGCGGUCCGCUAAGACAGAUGUGAAAUCCCCGGGCCUAACCUGGGAACUGCAUUUGUGACUGGCGGGCUAGAGUAUGGCAGAGGGGGGUAGAAUUCCACGUGUAGCAGUGAAAUGCGUAGAGAUGUGGAGGAAUACCGAUGGCGAAGGCAGCCCCCUGGGCCAAUACUGACGCUCAUGCACGAAAGCGUGGGGAGCAAACAGGAUUAGAUACCCGUGUAGUCCCUGUCUCUUAUAC